ACUCCCUCUGUUCGCUGCCGAUGGGAGAGGAGACAGGCAGCGCUGCUGCCUCAUCGAGCUCGUCCGCGGCCAGGCCGCCGUCGCCGACGGUGUGGUGGCGUACAAGACAUGCCUGCGGAAAUCCUGCUCGAGGGCCGGCAUGGCAGCCGUGCGGGUGAUGGCAACCCGCCCGCGCUCCGGCCGCAUCUUCGGCUCGGCGCGCUGCCACAUCUCUUGAGGAAAGACAUUCGAGUCCCGGAUGCGAGGCCAUGCACGGCGGGCGCCAAAGACCUCGCUUCACCGACGCCGGUACUGGAGAGUAGUAGUACUAUAAUAACAAAUCCAAUGCAAGGAGGAGGAGGAGGCCCUGCGCCUCACGAUCAGCAGCCCAAGAGACCGCCGCACCACUCCAUCGACAUCCCGGCGGAGAGCAGCGCGCCCCUCACACCGACGGCGGCAGCAGAGGCAGAAGCUGUAGCAGCAACACCGGGCUCCAAUGCCAGCAGAAAGUCCGGCUCAGGUUCCGUUCCGGCAAGCCGCCGGCGCCGCAGCGCACGCCGUCCUGCCUGGAGGGGGCAGCUUCAAGUCAUCGGUCAGAGGCUAUGAGGCGUCCCUCUCCAGGCUCUUCAGCGGAAGGAUCGCUAGGACCUCGUCGCUCCUGGCGGCGGACGAUGGCGUGCUCUCGGCCUCCGUGCACGCCGCCAACAAGACGCCGCCGAGUGUUCCUGCCGCCGCUGAGAAGACGGGCAUGCACCGGUCGCAGUCCCUCCCUAUGAACAUGAAGUUGAGCUCGGCCAAGAGCAUCAAGAGGAUGAACUCGCUCGACGGUGUGUACCACGUCGUCCCGUCCAGGCCGUGAGCCCCCGCCGCCACCGCCGCGGCUAGCAAUGUCGUGCCGGACAUAGUCCCCAUAGAACCAGGUGGGUGGAUGCACAUCACUCUCCAACAUUCAGUCUGAAUUCUGCUGCUACCUCUCUAGCAUCGGUCUAAAUUCCGUCACACAGAGUUCCUGAAACUGUGCACACAAUGUGCUAAUGGGUGACACCGUCUAGCUGCUCCAUGAGAAUGGAGGGAUUAUCAAUGCGGCAUUACAUGAGAGUUCAGGGGGCUAUCUGUAAAAAUACAACCCUCCACAUCCACCACGUGACAUCAGAACAGAGAAAACCGGGUGUCCGAACCGGUUCAGCUCGUGUGUGUGACUUAAAUGCACCCGCAACACAAGUUCUGUGACGGGUUUUUCCGGUUUGUAAGUUGUGUGACUAAAGUGCACUCGCAGAACAAGUUCUUAGACCGCCAGUGCCAUUUACUCGCAGCUGUCGGCGGUGGCGACGACCAUGGCUGGGUCAACAAAGACGAAUUCCACAAGGGCUCCACCUAUGAGGAUGGCACAUCAUCUAUCAGAGAGGGCCGGCGCACUUUCUUUCAACAAUGAGGUGAUGAAAUCUACAGUUGACAUUUAGCAAUAAUAUUCAUGUCUAAUGGCAUGAUGUGCAAGAAGGGGUUGCCAAAAUUAUCACACGCCAUGUUAUAUAUGUACCAGUGAUGCCUCCUUUUCUUGCACCUGGGUAUGAUUUAUUUGUUAGAAUAAGUUGUGUUGAGAUAGAAAAGCGGUUCAUGUUGUAAUCCUAGUCUAUCUCUUCUUCUGUCUUUCUCCUUCUUCUUUACCGACUCUUCUCUGUAAUAGAUCGAUCGAUCUACAACUUGUAAGCCACGACAUCAUUGAUAUAUAUACACGUGCGACCCGAGCAAAGGGCUAUA